ensembl:snRNA U6 U6 spliceosomal RNA
GUGCUCACUUCGGCAGCACAUAUACUAAAAUUGGAAUUAUAUAGAGAAGAUUAGCAUGGUCACUGCACACAGAUGACAAGCAAAUUCGUGAAACAUUCAAUAUUUUU